CUUAAGUGAAGAGUUUGAUCCUGGCUCAGAUUGAACGCUGGCGGCAUGCCUAACACAUGCAAGUCGAACGGCAGCACAGCAGUAGCAAUACUGUGGGUGGCGAGUGGCGGACGGGUGAGUAAUGCAUCGGGACCUGCCCAGACGUGGGGGAUAACGUAGGGA
rnacentral:rRNA from 1 species